ACAUACGGCCAUAGUACCCUGAGAAAUGUCGAUCCCGUCCGAUCUCGUCAACAUAAGCAGGAUAACGGCAGAUUAGUAGUUGGGUCGGUGACGACCAGCGAACACCGGCUGCUGUAUGUA
rfam:Ophiocordyceps sinensis CO18 unplaced genomic scaffold OCS_Scf_303, whole genome shotgun sequence.